GUCCACGCCGUAAACGAUGGAUACUAGCUGUUGGGAGCGAUCUCAGUGGCUAAGCGAAAGUGAUAAGUAUCACACCUGGGGAGUACGUUCGCAAGAAUGAAACUCAAAGGAAUUGACGGGGCCCGCACAAGCGGUGGAGCAUGUGGUUUAAUUCGAUGAUACGCGAGGAACCUUACCAAGGCUUAAAUGUAGAUUGACCGAUUUGGAAACAGAUCUUUCGCAAGACAAUUUACAAGGUGCUGCAUGGUUGUCGU
rnacentral:rRNA from 1 species